rnacentral:rRNA from 1 species
GAGUUUGAUCUUGGCUCAGAUUGAACGCUGGCGGCAGGCCUAACACAUGCAAGUCGAGCGGAUGAGAGGAGCUUGCUCCUUGAUUCAGCGGCGGACGGGUGAGUAAUGCCUAGGAAUCUGCCUGAUAGUGGGGGACAACGUUUCGAAAGGAACGCUAAUACCGCAUACGUCCUACGGGAGAAAGCAGGGGACCUUCGGGCCUUGCGCUAUCAGAUGAGCCUAGGUCGGAUUAGCUAGUAGGUGAGGUAAUGGCUCACCUAGGCGACGAUCCGUAACUGGUCUGAGAGGAUGAUCAGUCACACUGGAACUGAGACACGGUCCAGACUCCUACGGGAGGCAGCAGUGGGGAAUAUUGGACAAUGGGCGAAAAGCCUGAUCCAGCCAUGCCGCGUGUGUGAAGAAGGUCUUCGGAUUGUAAAGCACUUUAAGUUGGGAGGAAGG